GGCGAUUUGAACCUACUGCGGUCAUUAUUUCGGUCUUCGAUCAGACGACAAGAUCUAAACAGACAUCGGCUUUGAAGAAAGAGAACCUAACCGCGGACGAACUGCCAUCAGUCCUGGGAGAGGCUGAUCUCCAGUCUAUUAGCCAGGAGUACAAUCUUCUGAUCGAUUCUUUUGAACUCAUAAAAUGCCAUGGCAAUUUUCGGGCUGAUCACUUCUUAG
rnacentral:misc_RNA from 1 species